rnacentral:rRNA from 1 species
GAUGAACGCUGGCGGCGUGCCUAAUACAUGCAAGUCGAGCGAACAGACGAGGAGCUUGCUCCUCUGACGUUAGCGGCGGACGGGUGAGUAACACGUGGAUAACCUACCUAUAAGACUGGGAUAACUUCGGGAAACCGGAGCUAAUACCGGAUAAUAUAUUGAACCGCAUGGUUCAAUAGUGAAAGACGGUUUUGCUGUCACUUAUAGAUGGAUCCGCGCCGCAUUAGCUAGUUGGUAAGGUAACGGCUUACCAAGGCGACGAUGCGUAGCCGACCUGAGAGGGUGAUCGGCCACACUGGAACUGAGACACGGUCCAGACUCCUACGGGAGGAAGCAGUAGGGAAUCUUCCGCAAUGGGCGAAAGCCUGACGGAGCAACGCCGCGUGAGUGAUGAAGGUCUUCGGAUCGUAAAACUCUGUUAUUAGGGAAGAACAAAUGUGUAAGUAACUAUGCACGUCUUGACGGUACCUAAUCAGAAAGCCACGGCUAACUACGUG